UUUGUUCAUUGUUUGAGCAAAUAUCAAUGGAUUUCGCUGUUGUUUACUAAUACUCGAAGUCGUAUAAAUCUGAGAAGUGUAAAUAAAUCUCGUUAAGGAAGUCAUUAAAAAGUUUACAUCGCGUCUGAUUAUUUAGUUUUGACUUAAAUGAAUAAAAAUUACUAUUUUGAGAAAAAGUCGCGACUUCCACAAGUUUUUUUUUUAAAUACUUAGUAAUGACGUAGCUUUGGUAGAAUUAUCGUAUAUUUUAUUUUAUUUGAAAUUGAAACAAGUUUCUGAUCACGGUAAAAUUCUAAAGCUUCCAAUCAGAGCGUUUUUUACCAGAUAUCAAUUUUAAAAUCUUCAUCGUAGAAUGUUUUUUCACAUCAUAAAUCGUCCAAUCAGGAUUAUUAUUUUUAGAUAUUAGCAUUUAAUUAACGAUUAAGAAGGUAUUAAAACGUAAGAAAACAUUUGGCUAGGUCAAUACAUUUUAUUAAAAGAGAAUUUUAGACUAUCAACGUUGAUUGGAGAAGAUAUUUUUUGUUUGAAUAUUGCAACACUCAAUAAUUAGAUAAAAGAUGGAUGAGUGCAAAAAGACGGGAACAACGCUAAGAAAAAUCGGUGAUAACUUUGAACGAAAAGCAACGUGUAAUAAUAGCACACCUCAAACACCGCAAUACCAAAAACAAACUUCCUUAAACUCAAGCUUGAAUGGAAUAAAAUAUUGAUAGUUGAAAACAAAAAAGAUACUUGAGAAAACUUUUUAACGACUAUUUGUAGAUUUUGGUAUAAAAACUUUGUAAAUAUGUCAAUAGUGUGAAGAGUAUGUAAAUAUAAUCUAUAACUGUAAA